rnacentral:lncRNA from 1 species
GCCACCUGCUAGCCGAGCCUGCAGCUCCCAGUGAUACUGGACAAGGCCCAGUAGACGCCGGGUGGGAAACGGAGGACAGCCACCACGCGCCGCCCACAGAGGGCACUGCGCCCGCAGCACGGGGUCUCGUCCCGCACGACUCAAGGGCGGAGUUCAGUUCUGUGCUGGCACCAGGGACACGGGCUUGGAAAGCAGGAAGACCUGCCGCGCCAGAGCCGAGAGGAGCCAGGCAGAGCCGCUCCAUCACCCACCAGCCGACGGCACCCCAGGGUGGCUCUGAAGCCCGAGUCAUUCGCUGUACGUGUUUUGAAAGGGGAGACUUCUGUGAAGCAUCGUUUAUUCAGAGGGACCACGAUGGCCUCAUCCGUCUGCUUGUCUGUUACAGUGAAUGGGUAUGAAGGGCCCAUCCGGUGCCGGGCCUGGGGCUGCUUGCUGGGGGGCCGUGAAACCUCAGGGCAUCUACACCCGGGCACAACACACACAGCUUAUAGAAAACAAACAGGCAGGUCAACCUGACCACGGCCAACACCUGACUCUGGAAACAGUCACCUGGGAAGCAGUCGCCGGGCUGCAGAGUCGGCGUUUCAGCCUGAGAGGGAAGCUGCACGCUGGGGGGUAGAAGCCCGGCAUCUGAACUGUUCCCCUGCCCACAUAUUUUACUACAUUUCCUUACCCCUCAACACUUAUGAACCAGAGAUUAUCAGGACCAAAAAUACAAAGGCUCCGCAGCUUUUCAAACAGAGCCCAUGGCGAGUGAUCGGCCCACCGACCCCACGUGACUGAACGGGAGAAUGGCUGGGAACGUGUCAUCCUGUUUUCCUCCAAGCCGAGGGGGAUGUGGAUCUCUUAAGACAACAACCACUCCGCACGCUGCACGUGGGGCCGGGUCCAGGAAUAAUCUUUUAAAAGGCACAUAUGUAUUUAUAAUGUAAUAUAUGCAAAC